rnacentral:tRNA from 1 species
AGCGUGUGGCGCGGCAGGAGGCGCGGGCGCAUCCCCGGAGUGUGCCGUUGGCGUUGUUGGAGCCGCAUCGUGUGGUUCCGGUGCAUGGUCCGCUG